UACGUAGGGGGCAAGUGUUGUCCGGAAUUAUUGGGCGUAAAGAGCGCGUAGGCGGUCCGAUAAGUCGGCUGUGAAAGUCAAGGGCUCAACCCUUGAAAGCCGGCCGAUACUGUCGGACUAGAGUCCGGAAGAGGCGAGUGGAAUUCCCGGUGUAGCGGUGAAAAUGCGCAGAUAUCGGGAGGAACACCAAUGGCGAAGGCAGCUCGCUGGGACGGUACUGACGCUGAGGCGCGAAAAGCGUGGGGGAGCAAACAGGG
rnacentral:rRNA from 1 species